UACGAAGGCGGCAAGCGUUGUUCGGAUUUACUGGGCGUACAGGGAGCGUAGGCGGCUGGGUAAGCCCUCCGUGAAAUCUCCGGGCCUAACCCGGAAAGUGCGGAGGGGACUGCUCGGCUAGAGGAUGGGAGAGGAGCGCGGAAUUCCCGGUGUAGCGGUGAAAUGCGUAGAGAUCGGGAGGAAGGCCGGUGGCGAAGGCGGCGCUCUGGAACAUUUCUGACGCUGAGGAUCGAAAGCGUGGGGAGCAAACAGG
rnacentral:rRNA from 1 species